UACGUAGGUGGCAAGCGUUGUCCGGAAUUAUUGGGCGUAAAGCGCGCGCAGGCGGUCCUUUAAGUCUGAUGUGAAAGCCCACGGCUCAACCGUGGAGGGUCAUUGGAAACUGGGGGACUUGAGUGCAGAAGAGAAAAGCGGAAUUCCACGUGUAGCGGUGAAAUGCGUAGAGAUGUGGAGGAACACCAGUGGCGAAGGCGGCUUGCUGGGACGGUACUGACGCUGAGACGCGAAAGCGUGGGGAGCAAACAGG
rnacentral:rRNA from 1 species